rnacentral:rRNA from 1 species
GUAGGUGGCAAGCGUUGUCCGGAAUUAUUGGGGCGUGAAGCGCGCGCAGGCGGUUCUUUAAGUCUGAUGUGAAAGCCCACGGGCUCAACCGUGGGAGGGUCAUUGGAGACUGGAGAACUUGAGUACAGAAGAGGAAAGCGGAAUUCCACGUGUAGCGGUGAAAUGCGUAGAGAUGUGGAGGAACACCAGUGGCGAAGGCGGCUUUCUGGUCUGUAACUGACGCUGAGGCGCGAAAGCGUGGGGAGCAAACAGGAUUAGAUACCCUGGUAGUCCACGCCGUAAACGAUGAGUGCUAAGUGUUAGGGGGUUUCCGCCCCUUAGUGCUGCAGCUAACGCAUUAAGCACUCCGCCUGAGGAGUACGGCCGCAAAGGCUG